rnacentral:rRNA from 1 species
AUUGAACGCUGGCGGCAGGCCUAACACAUGCAAGUCGAACGAGUCGCGGACGGGUGAGUAAUGUUUGGGUAUCCCGCUUAUGGAGGGGGAUAACUACGGGAAACUGUAGAUUAUACCGUGUUCCAUAGGAUGAGCCCAUGUGGGAAUCGGUUGUUGGAGAGGUAAAGGCACACCAAGCCGACGAUCUCUAGCUGGUCUGAGAGGAUAACCAUCCCCCCUGGGACUGAGACACGGCCCAGACUCCACCUUUAUUCAUCAUUUUCAAAUAUUACGCAAUGUUGGCAACCUGACACAGCCAUGCCGCGUGAAUGAAGAAUUCCUUAGGGUUAUAACGUUCUUUCGGUAGCGAGGCGUUAACUACAGAAGAAGCACCGGCUAACUCCGUGCCAGCAGCCGCGGUAAUAC